rnacentral:rRNA from 1 species
GACGAACGCUGGCGGCGUGCUUAACACAUGCAAGUCGAACGAAGUGGCGAACGGGUGAGUAACGAGUAAUGAACCUGCCCUUCAGAGGGGGACAACAGUUGGAAACGACUGCUAACACCGCAUACUGAAGGAGGGGAUUGCGUCUGAGUAGCUAGUUGGAGGGGUAACGGCCCACCACGGCGAUGAUCAGUAGCCGGUCUGGAAGGAUGGACGGCCACAUUGGGACUGGGACACGGCCCAGACUCCUACGGGAGGCAGCAGUGGGGAAUCUUCCGCAAUGGACGAAAGUCUGACGGAGCAACGCCGCGUGAGUGAUGACGGCCUUCGGGUUGUAAAGCUCUGUUAAUCGGGACGCGGUACCGGAAUAGAAAGCCACGGCUAACUACGUGCCAGCCGCCGCGGUAAUUC